AGCUUUGCGCAGAGGCGGUGUCGUACCCUAUGAAGUGCAAACUGAGGGGCGACUAUUGCUAGUUGAAAACUUUUCCCAAUACCCCGCCUGGACGACGUGAAACACCGUCGGCCGUGGCAAUUUUUGGAAGGCCCACACAGGGC
rnacentral:snRNA from 1 species